GUGACAGUCAGUUCAAUUAUCCAAAGGUUCGAAUAAAUGAGGUACGAAUUAACAAGCAUUUACUGUAUAACUUUUUGUGUUUAUAGUGCAAUGAGGCUAUUUAAAGUGUUUUGGAAGUGUUAUAAUAGGAAAAUGAUACACGGGAUGCUGCUCUGCACACUGAAAAAAGCUUUGACGCGGCCUUGAAAGCAUUUGAAUACCUAUGAAUUUCUGCCACCGAGACCUGUACAAAUCCUGAUAUUGUACAUUCACCAGAGUGCUCUGAAACAACCAAUCAAAUGUGCCCUAAAUGUACCACUUCUGCUAUGAAGUAAAUAUUUUUGUGUUUCAGCGGUGCUGCUGCGGGUGCUGCGGGUGCAGCUGGAGGUGCGGCAGCAGAACAGGGACGUCUUGCAUGAGCUCCAGCAGCUGAGGCAUGAGGUACGGGUCGUGUCCGAGAGGCUGGAUGAAAUUGAGCCUCUCGACAGGACCCGGGCAGUGUCUCAGCCUGCCCUGUCGACGGUGCCUCCAGUUCUUCCUCGGCUACCUGCCGACAAUAUUGAAGAAUUGGAGGCAGCAGAGGCAGCCGUGCAGGAUGAGGCUGUGGCUGCCACCUUGCGCAAGCACCUCCUGCAAAUAGGAGGGAAGUCGCUGCGCGAGGUGGCAUCGAAUGCCAUGAAGGCUGUAAUGGCACACCCCGUCCAAGUGCUUUACAGCCUUCAUGGCAGGAAGGGGAAGAGGGCUUUCAUAAAUCUGAAGGUAUGCCGGAUAGUCACAGGUAAGGCCUCCUUAGUCAUCCUUUUGCAUUUGCAAGUAUUGUGUAUACAGCUGAACUCCUCUACAGCGAAAUGGCUUGCCAAAAUCCUGUCUUUCAUAUAAAUUGUUAACUUCUACAACGAAGAAAUUUAGGUGUCCCUGUUGGCUGAUUUCAUUUUUUACUAUGAAAGCCACAUACUCGGCCACCACUGCCCUUGAAGGCGUUGCGAAGGUGUGCUCUGCACUAGCGCCAAUGGCAGUGUAGGUGAAUUGCUUGACGAGCAUGCCGAUGAAUUGCAUCACACCAGGCAGCUUACACGUUUAGCAUCAGCGGGUGAGAUAGUUGAUGAAUAUGUCUCGGUUGGUAAAGACAUGGUGUGAUCAUCACUGAUGAUGUUACCGCUAUGUUAGGGUGGAAAAACAGGAAUGUCAACGAAGGCAACAGGGAUGAAGAUCCUGUAAAUGGAUCAAGAAUUUUCAUGGCGGAGAAGGCGAUAGCAGUAUUUGAUUCCCCACAGCAUUACUUUGCGUA